GGUCAAGCGACUAAGCGCAUACGGUGGAUGCCUUGGCGGUCAGAGGCGAUGAAGGACGUGGCAGCCUGCGAAAAGGGCCGGGGAGCUGGCAACAAGCAUUGAUCCGGUCAUGUCCGAAUGGGGAAACCCACUCCUUUUAGGAGUAUCCCGCGCUGAAUACAUAGGCGCGUGGAGGCGAACUCAGGGAACUGAAAUAUCUCAGUACCUGAAGGAAAAGAAAUCAACAGAGAUUCCCUCAGUAGCGACGAGCGAACGGGGAACAGCCCAAAAGUUGCACCAGUUCUAGAAGAAGGGUCUGGAAAGGCCUGCCAUAGACGGUGAUAGCCCGGUAUUCGAAAGGGCUGGUGCGAUGAAAGUGAGUAGGGCGGGGCACGUGAAACCCUGUCUGAACAUGGGGGGACCAUCCUCCAAGGCUAAAUACUCCUGACCGACCGAUAGUGAACCAGUACCGUGAGGGAAAGGCGAAAAGAACCCCGGAGAGGGGAGUGAAAUAGAACCUGAAACCGUAUGCGUACAAGCAGUCAGAGCCCCUUCGUGGGGUGAUGGCGUACCUUUUGUAUAAUGGGUCAGCGACUUACGUUGUGUGGCGAGCUUAACCGUCUAGGGGAGGCGAAGGGAAACCGAGUCUGAAUAGGGCGCACAGUCGCACGGCGUAGACCCGAAACCGGGUGAUCUAUCCAUGCCCAGGGUGAAGGUCCGGUAACACGGACUGGAGGCCCGAACCCACUCCUGUUGCAAAAGUAGGGGAUGAGGUGUGGAUAGGAGUGAAAAGCUAAUCGAACCCGGAGAUAGCUGGUUCUCCUCGAAAGCUAUUUAGGUAGCGCCUCGUGUAUCACUGUUGGGGGUAGAGCACUGUUAUGGCUAGCGGGUCAUUGCGACUUAGCAAACCAUUGCAAACUCCGAAUACCAACACGUGCGAGCACGGGAGACACACGGCGGGUGCUAACGUCCGUCGUGAAAAGGGAAACAACCCAGACCCGCAGCUAAGGUCCCAAAGUCAUGGCUAAGUGGUGAACGAAGUGGGAAGGCAUAGACAGCCAGGAGGUUGGCUUAGAAGCAGCCACCCUUUAAAGAAAGCGUAAUAGCUCACUGGUCGAGUCGGCCCGCGCGGAAGAUUUAACGGGGCUAAGCCAUGCACCGAAGCUCGGGGUUUACUCGCAAGAGUAAGCGGUAGAGGAGCGUUCCGUACGCCUGUGAAGGUGGAUCGUAAGGUCUGCUGGAGGUAUCGGAAGUGCGAAUGCUGACAUGAGUAACGAUAAGGGGGGUGAAAAGCCUCCCCGCCGAAAGCCCAAGGUUUCCUAGCGCAACGUUCAUCGGCGCAGGGUGAGUCGGUCCCUAAGGCGAGGCGGAAACGCGUAGUCGAUGGGAAGCUGGUUAAUAUUCCAGCACUUUAUCGCAGUGCGAUGGGGGGACGGAGAAGGGUAGGUGUACCGGGCGUUGGUUGUCCCGGGGAAAGGAGGUAGGCAUGAGGCGUAGGCAAAUCCGCGCUUCUUUAUGCCGAGCACCGAGACGAGUCCUUUUAGGACGAAGUCACUGAUCCCACGCUUCCAGGAAAAGCCUCUAAGCUUCAGCUGCGAUAGAACCGUACCGUAAUCCGACACAGGUAGGCAGGGUGAGAAUCCCAAGGCGCUUGAGAGAACUCGGGUGAAGGAACUAGGCAACAUAGCACCGUAACUUCGGGAGAAGGUGCGCCCCGGUCUGUGGCUACAUGCGUAGCUGAGCAGACUGGGGCCGCAGUGACCAGGCCGCUGCGAAAAAAAAAAAAAAACACAGCACUCUGCAAACACGAAAGUGGAC
rnacentral:rRNA from 1 species